GGUCUGAUGGAGAAGCGGUUAACUCGCGUCCCUCUCAAGGACGUAUUCACAGGUUCGAACCCUGUUCAGACCA
rnacentral:tRNA from 1 species